rnacentral:rRNA from 1 species
CACGUAGUUAGCCGGAGCUUCCUCCUCUGCUACCGUCAUCAUCUUCACAGAGGACAGAGGUUUACAAUCCGAAAACCGUCUUCCCUCACGCGGCGUUGCUGGUUCAGGGUUUCCCCCAUUGACCAAUAUCCCUCACUGCUGCCUCCCGUAGGAGUCUGGGCCGUGUCUCAGUCCCAAUGUGGCCGUUCAACCCCUCAGUCCGGCUACCGAUCGUCGGCUUGGGUGGGCCGUUACCCCGCCAACUACCUAAUCGGACGCGAGCCCAUCUUUCAGCGGAUUGCUCCUUUGAUUAUCAGGCAAUGCUGCCCAAUAAUAUCAUGCGGUAUUAGCGUUCGUUUCCAAACGUUAUCCCCCUCUGAAAGGUAGGUUGCUCACGCGUUACUCACCCGUCCGCCACUAAGCUAAACAAGAUUCAAUAGCAAGCUACGUCCUCAGCAUCUAGCUCCGUUCGACUUGCAUGUGUUAGGCACGCCCGCCAGCGUUCGUCCUGUAGCCAGGAUCGAAAACUCU